UGCCAGCCGCCGCGGUAAUACGAAGGUCCCAAGCGUUGUUCGGAAUCACUGGGCGUAAAGCGUGUGUAGGCUGCGCGGAAAGUCAAAUGUGAAAGCCCGGGGCUCAACCUCGGAACUGCAUUCGAUACUCCCGUGCUAGAGUAAUGGAGAGGUGGUGGAAUUUCCAGUGUAGCGGUGAAAUGCGUAGAGAUUGGAAGGAACAUCAGUGGCGAAGGCGGCCACCUGGACACAUACUGACGCUGAGGCACGAAAGCGUGGGGAGCGAACAGGAUUAGAUA
rnacentral:rRNA from 1 species